UGGGGAAUAUUGCACAAUGGGCGCAAGCCUGAUGCAGCCAUGCCGCGUGUGUGAAGAAGGCCUUCGGGUUGUAAAGCACUUUCAGCGAGGAGGAAGGUGGUGAACUUAAUACGUUCAUCAAUUGACGUUACUCGCAGAAGAAGCACCGGCUAACUCCGUGCCAGCAGCCGCGGUAAUACGGAGGGUGCAAGCGUUAAUCGGAAUUACUGGGCGUAAAGCGCACGCAGGCGGUUUGUUAAGUCAGAUGUGAAAUCCCCGGGCUCAACCUGGGAACUGCAUUUGAAACUGGCAAGCUAGAGUCUCGUAGAGGGGGGUAGAAUUCCAGGUGUAGCGGUGAAAUGCGUAGAGAUCUGGAGGAAUACCGGUGGCGAAGGCGGCCCCCUGGACGAAGACUGACGCUCAGGUGCGAAAGCGUGGGGAGCAAACAGGAUUAGNUACCCUGGUAGUCCACGCUGUAAACGAUGUCGAUUUUGGAGGUUGUGCCCUUGAGGCGUGGCUUCCGGAGCUAACGCGUUAAAUCGACCGCCUGGGGAGUACGGCCGCAAGGUUAAAACUCAAAUGAAUUGACGGGGUC
rnacentral:rRNA from 1 species